GGGAUUGUAGUUAAACAAUAACAUUUGGUUUGCAUCUAAAAGGUACUCAGUAAAGUCAAUCUUA
rnacentral:tRNA from 1 species